GCCCACUUCACUCAGUUAUGGACUUGCUGUCCUUGCCACUUUUCGUAUCACCCGCCAAAAUUAGAGCUCUCGAUUAAAGUGAGUUUGCACAAGUUGGCUGACCCUACAACAUCCUUCUAAAUCUACUCUCUUUAUAAGUACAGAGACAACUUAUAUUCCCCAUAAGUAAUAAUAAUUUUUGUCAAUUGGCAAAAAAUUCAUGAACUAACUCACAUACUUUGAGCAAAUGUAAAGAAAAACUUAGAGGAUUCUGCAUGUUUAGAUAGAGCAAAUUGCAGUAGAAAUUUGAAACAUUUGCAUUAAGGUAGAAACAGUCUGUAUAAAUAGUUCUAUUAAUAUUCAGACUCUUGGUUUAGUACUGAUAAUAAAAAAAAAAGUUUAGCAAGGCCAUGUUUUAAGUUCUUUGAAAUUACUGGCAAAGCAUUUGCUUGUGUAUUGGGGAUAACAUUUGAUUCUCUUGUAUGUUUUCCUUAUUCUGUUAAUACUGGUUAAAAAAUGGGGCCCCACUCAGAUUAAUUUAGUAUUCCGGGGCCACAAACUAGCCAUUUCUGUCCUUUCAGGUAAUAUAGAUUAAAAAGUACAUGUGAGCUGGGUGUGGUGGCACACAUCUGUAAUCCCAGCAACACAGAAACCUGAGGCUGGAGGAUCCACAAGUUCAAUGCCAGCCUUCGUGAUUUAGCAAGGCCCUAAGAAGCUUUAGUGAGCUGGGCACGUGAUUGCACAUGCCUGUAAUCCCAGUGCUAUGGGAGGCUGAAGCUGAAGGAUUAUGAGUUCAAAGACAGCCUCAGUAAUUUAGCAAGGCCUAAGCCCUGAC
rnacentral:lncRNA from 1 species